CCUACGGGAGGCAGCAGUGAGGAAUAUUGGUCAAUGGGCGGAAGCCUGAACCAGCCAAGUCGCGUGCGGGAUGAAGGCCCUACGGUUCGUAAACCGCUUUUGCACGGGGAUAAAACCCUCCACUUGUGGAGGUCUGCAGGUACCGUGCGAAUAAGGGCCGGCGAAUUCCGUCCCAGCAGCCGCGGUAAUACGGAAGGCCCGAGCGUUAUCCGGAUUCAUUGGGCUUUAAGGGAGCGUAGGCGGGCGUUCAAGUCAGCGGUAAAAUCGCGCGGCACAACCGCGCCCCGCAGUUGAAACUGGACGCCUUGAGUGCACAACAGGCAGGCGGAAUUCGUGGUGUAGCGGUGAAAUGCAUAGAUAUAACGAGGAACCCCGAUUGCGAAGGCAGCCUGCUGGGGUGCGACUGACGCUGAGGCUCGAAGGUGCGGGUAGCAAACAGGAUUAGAUACCCGAGUAGUC
rnacentral:rRNA from 1 species